CGGCAGUUUGGUGACUUCAUCAGUAUCCUGACUUUCUCUGGGAACUGUCUCAUAAACAGCUGGAGUCACAGCAGGAGGUACACACACACACAAACACACAAUGCACAGUGUGUGAGUAAGUGUGACUUCAUAUGCCAUCACAAACUAAAGGUUUACUGCCCUGUUACACAUUCACCAACCUACGCUCGCACUUAAUCGCCUCACACAAGGUCAGGUUUAUUCAUUCGGGAACUGGCCACGCGUGACUGCUGGUGUAAAUGUUGUUGGUGUUUUCACGCUGAGACACCCAGGGGUGCACAGCAGGGAGAUCUACAUCUGAUGAUGGACUUCGUGUGCGCUGCAUGCAAAGCUAAGGCUGACUCACGAAACAAAAGAAUAGUAAAACAAUGUGACAUUUCCGUGACUUCAUAAGCACGUCAUUAAAGUCAUUAUCUACUCGAAAAGCUGCUGGGCGCCCGGUUAACAACUUUUACUGUUCCAUGCCACAGGGUAGGAUUUGUGCGGCUAUUUGAGGAAAACCUCGGGAGGAUGUGAUCUGAGACUUUUCGUUCUUGUCAAAACAGAGAGUGGAAAUCUCUGUUUGCGGUGACCUCUAUCGAGUCUCGUAAAAGUGGUUUUUUUCCACGACCCAGAAACAGCCAACACCAUUGUUUGGCGCUAAUGCAGGAAGUACAACGGAAAUUAAGAAUGAGUCAACAAUAGUCAAUAUCGAGGGCGUCCCGCUUGAAGGAAAAGUUUCUCUACAUCCACUCCAAAUUCUAUUUAUAGUUAACAGUUGUAUUUGCAAUUUUUCUGAUUUCAGGAUCUGAUAUUAAAAAAUCCCUUCAAACUGCAUAACCACGGCCUAUUUUCUUUCUUUCAUCCCUUUUGCCAUGUUGGAGUUUUGUGGACAAACCAAGCAGUAUCCUACAACAUCAAAUGGUGAAACCAAUGAUCAAAAGACUGCAGUUCUUGGAGUGUCCACUAGAGGCUGGCUCCCAAAGCCAGUUAGACUCCAUUCACACCAGUGUCAUUCAAGUCAAUUCAUUGUAGAUGUUUUUCAGGGGGUCUAGAUCCCCGUUUUGUGCCCAGAUCGAUCCAAAGUUAGUUUGAGCUCACGUUUCCAAUACAGCUGCCACUUGGACUACAUUAUCCCUCAGUGGAAACCAGUGGGUGGCGUAACUGAGACUGCACGUAUGGUUCAGUCUAUGGGAAAUGUUUGUAAGACACUUUAUACAUCAAAAAAUAAAAAAGUUUAAGCCACGUGUGUAACCUCUUUUUUACCCAUGUGUUUUUCAGUUGUGAUUUUUGGCGACUGUUGCUCCAACGAUGAAAAUGUUAUCACCAGGCGACGUAAAAACAGCAGUAAAGUCUGUUCGGGGUGCUGGUUUAGAGCCAGCUUUGGACCAGAGUGACUCAGAAGAGAGAUAUAUGAUCGUGAUGGAUGGGUGGAGAACUUGUUAAAUCCUUGUUUUUCGUUUCGUUUGAUGGAGGUCGUUGCGUAACAGAGGAAAAUAAAUGCUUUGCCUGAAUUCACCUUAAUGUACUGAAUGAAAACCAUGCCUGUUAAAGUGUAUAAAAAUGGGGAGUUUUUGUGAAACAAUUCAAAAUAACCAACCGCUGUGACUAAUGGAGCUAACAUGAUUUACUUUUCCGACUGUGGAUGUACAUUUGAUAUGUUUCCUCGAAAACUCGCCUGACACUACGACCCAGGGAAGAUGUUAUUUGGGGUUAGAUGGAAGUUACAGAUUUAUGAAGCCAAAUGUUCGUGUAGACAUUCAGAGUCUACGUGGGCAGCGGUGGUGACGGCUUACUUUUUGACCUGGCAUCCUUGGUGAAAGACUUUACAACGGUAAAUACUGUUGCACGCCAUUGGGGACAUGGCUGCCGCUUAUGUAAGGGGCUGUUUUGAGGAAGCGGCUCCUGUUUGGCCCCGAUGGCUUGAGGACAGCAGAUUCCCCAGCUGAUAAAGAAAAGUGCUUGGAAAGGCAGCGCAGGAAAAUACCUUUAAAUAUAUUAUGUAAUUGAAUAUCAGGGUUACAUACUGUGCAGCGUCGAAGCGACAGCGGUAAUUCCAAAGACUUGGGCCGUCACGUACAGACAGUGACAGGUGGGAAGAGCUUUAAAUCACGCUGAAGUAUGCAAAGACUCAAGCGGGCAUGAGGUGGUUGGUCUUCUGACACGUGAAGCUCCUGCAUCUUUUUCCUCAAGUGUUCGAUGGCCUCGCUGCGAGCUUCACAUUCCUCCCCUCCUCUCUGCUCUCAAAGUGGCCAAUGCCUCAGGCCCUAAGCCACAACCAUGGUUACAUAACCGGCGCUAAAGCUGUAUAUCUCAGCAACAUAUUUACCUGAAAUGGCUUGACCCCUGCGCUCUUGCCUGCAUGGGCAGCGACAGCCGCGUCUGACUUCUGGUUAUUCUUGAAUCAGCCUCCCCCAGCAAAAACGCACCACCUACUGUUGGCUAAAGCUGUUCUCCUGAUGCAGUUUUUCUUGUUUUAUUGAUAAAAAAAAUAAGAAGGUACCCCCACACUGCGCAAAGGGAUGUUUAUUCAGCUUUUAGUCGAGACUCUAGUCUGCUGAGGCCUUAAGGUAACACUGGUUCAGUUAAUCAGGGGCCAGCGACUCCCCUUGACAGUUCCACUCAGUUUGGGUUUAUUACCUUCACACAUACCAGAAGGAGGGAGGUGGGCUCUGGUAUUCUGCUGGGUCCUAUAACACUGAAUGCAGAAUGGAUUUCCGCCUCAUUGUUCCAGCUCAUUGUCAUGUAGCCAUGCACAAAGCAGGCUUGGACUCGUAGGUUUUGCUUUAUAUAAGAAGUGGACAUCUAAGGUCACCAUCUUGAGGAUUUUUGUUGAGAUGAUAAGGCUUCAAGUCUUGCUCUGUGGCUGCUUACCAACUUGUUUUUAACCAGAACUGACUGUGAUUGAAUAAGAGGUUAAAGACAGAGAGAGCGGCUUAUUAGUUGGUGAUUAACGGAGAUUCUUCUUCUUGGGUUGGCUGAACUAAUUGGACCAUUUAUUGAACCAAAUAAGCAAGAACAGCAAGAUAAAUGUAAAACAGUCAACACAAUUACUCUCUAUUGUGCAUAAUGCCUUUUAAAUACGUUUAUUAGAAACUCACGUGUUUUCUAAUUACUUUUUAUUGACAUGAUUUGUAUAUAUAUAUGUAUUUGUGUAUGUAUUGUUAUCACUGUUAUUAUCAUCACAACGUAGUUAUAUGACAUGGUAAGAAGGGGGCCGAUAAGCAUUUGCUUCUUCCUGUCCCUUCUUGAACAAUUAUGGUUGUGUUUUAUUAUUGUUGCUGAUGUAUUGGUGUUUUUUUUGUUGUUUAAGACAAAUAAAAUAGAAAAAAACACUUCAUCUUGAUCUGAGGUAGGCCAGUUUAGCAGCAGGACUCUUCUACUACAGAGCCAAGACUUUGAGUCCAUACAGGGAUUACAGAGUCAUGCCUGGGACCUGAUCGUCACGGCCGUACAAUAUCAAUCAUCUGCUUUGGUCUAUUUGUACAGUUUCUUCCAGAUCUUCCAAUAAUUUUUUAUUAAAUCCUCCAAUUCGUAGCAAAUUCACACACAGCAACUUUAUUCUAAAAAUGUUGAGCUAUUUGCUCUCGCAGUCUCUCACUGAAAGGAAAAUCUCUUCCUAUCUUUACUUCUAAGAGACUCAGCCUCUCUGUACUGUUCUUUUAAUAACCUGUCAUGGUAUUACAAUGGAUACUGUUCUUAUUUAUAUACAAAAACAUAGAAAUAUACAGUACAGGCCAAAAGUUUGGACACACCUUCUCAUUCAAUGUCUUUAUUUUUUUUUUAUAUGACUAUUUACAUUGUAGAUUAUUACUGAAGGCAUUAAAACUAUGAAUGAACACAUGUAGAAUUUUGUACUUAUAAAAAAAGUGUGAAAUAACCGAAAACAUGUUUUAUAUUCUAGUUUCUUUAAAAUAGCCACCCUUUGCUCUUGAUGACAGAAGUACCUUGUCAGGGUUACUUCAGGCACUCCUGUGAAGUAAAAACCAUUUCAGGUGACUACCUCAUGAAGCUCAUUGAGAGAACAGCUAAAGUUUGCAGCGCUAUCAAAAAAGCAAAGGGUGGCUACUUUGAGAAAUCUAAAAUAUAAAACAUGUUUUCAGUUAUUUCACACUUUUUUCUUAAGCACAUGAUUCCACAUGUGUUCAUUCAUAGUUUUGAGAAUCUACAAUUUAAAUAGUAAUGAAAACAAAGAAAAUGCAUUGAAUGAGAAGGUGUGUCCAAACUUUUGGCCUGUACUGUAUAUAAUAGACACCAGCAACUAAUAAAAAAACUGCAGUUUUUGCCACGUCCUUGCUCCAAAAAUGGUAUAUUUGCAAUAAGCUGACUUUUAUUAUCGGUUAAUUUUUAAGGUCAACUCUGCCGAGGUGUUGCAAAAGUAGUGAUAAAGUAUACCCAUAACUUUCUCUUACAAAAUAGAUUUACUGUGUUGUUAUUAUAGAGGGAUUUUGUGCCAUAGUAGAUGGCAGAGCUCUCUCGUCUGUCUGAUGCUCGAGCUAAUGUGUAGUAUUUGGAAAAAGGAGCUGAAAUGUGUCCCCGGUGGACCCUGAGUUUGCAGAGGGUAUAAACUCUCAGGUAGGAAAAACACUGAGGAUAUGUCGUUAAAAACGUCGAGGGAGCGCAACACUUCAGAGAGCGGCGUAAGCUCAGCCGGUAACUCACUCAAAUCCUGUCUCUGAACGUCUGCCUCUGGUACCAUCACUGAUCCUCCUCAGACGCCGGCCCACACGAUAGCCGUCAAAACACAGCGAGAAGGCAUGCUUAGAUAAUUACUGUGUAAAUCAUGCCAAUCAAUUACGCCAGCGAGGGAGGUAAGGAAAACAGUCUGAUGAGGCCCUCAGUGGAAAACAAGUCUAGUGGCACACUCACACCUAUGAGUUUCACACUGGUGCACAAAAACACUCAAAUAAGGGCUCAUCUGUGCAGACACAUGCACGACUCACGUGCAGAAAUGAGACACCAUCACUCAUCCUCCGCUUAGGGUGUCAGAAAAAGUGUACAAAUGAGUAAAAAUGUCUUAUUUUAUGGUUUUAUGAAUGGGGUCGCCCUUUCAGCCGUGAGGUUAAGAGUCUGGGGCGGUUCACACUCAGUGUUGUAAUUCUACGAGUUUGUCAGAAAGCAUGUGUGAUGUUUAUGUGUGUUUUCCUGCAGCUUGAAAGCACAGGAGUGACAUCAGCUCUCGCAUAUUUCAGGAGUUGAUGUUUCUUCGUCGUAUUUCUACUGUCCCGAGACGCCCGGCAUGAGAACGUUCCUUGAGUGUGUGCAAACAGAGUUAUGUAAUUGUACCACUGCGAUGAUAAAUGCGAAGAGGCUGGGAUGGGAACCUCGCAGCCGUCUACGUCAGCGCAAACGAGCGCCUGGCCGCUCUUUCUAAAUCAUUUUGUGUUUCUAACAGAGAUAAGGAGGGGGAUGACGGAGCCGAGUGCGUGAGCCAAAGAGGACAAGGGGUGUAAACCACUGAAUGAGAUCGAACAAGAACAAGCGCGUCCAAGAAAUGACGUCUGCUGGCCCAGGCCAAUACAAGCGCAGAGGACACCAGUGACAAAGCCGUCAGCUCAGAGGAUUUUCCACCUUUCACUUUUCCUAGACUAAUUUUGCUCCAGAGAGCUUUGUGGUGUACCGUCCUUGUCUGUACAUUCUGCAGACAGCACACAAUCUGAGGGAUGCGCACAGAUACUUGGCCGGCGGUCUGGUUGUUAUACACACUCAGCACAUCUCCCUGACUGUCCAAGCCACACAUUUAAUCUCUGCAGAAGGAUGUCUGUCCAACGUAGAGAAUGAGGGUCUGAAAUAUUCCUCCGCCGUGAUGCAGAUGAUGACAUUCUUGCCCGUAAAACUAUCAACGAUUUAUGAAGUUUCAGUCAAAAGAGAGAAAUGUGGAUUUCAUAAACAGGAGGCAUCUGAUUCUGUAGGAUCUGCAUGAGAUGUCGAUACUCUGGAGAUAUGUCGCACCUUGGUUGAGGUUUUAGGCAUCCCUGAUUGAUCAAUGACUUAAUGAAAUGUGCAUUAAAUGAAUAGGCUACUGGAAUUUUAAAAAAUAGUCAUGUAAAUAAGUGCAGACAUAGUUUCUUUAAAGGUUAUCUUUGCAGAGAGUUGGGGUUAUUCAUUUGAAAGUGAAGGUUUUUACAUGUUUACAAAAGCCUGACUGAUAUUUUAGUGCAAAUUUCACAGGCUUAUCUGGCUUUACAGCAUGUAAACUGAAUGAUGAGCAUGCAGAAAGAAUAGUUUCAGAUGUCUUUUAUCAGGUUAACUGUUAUGAGGUGGUUGCAUGAGUUUGUAAAUGUUUUGCAGGACCUUGCAUCAUAAACUGGGGGAGAAUAUCAGUAAAUAUGGCACAUAUCAUCGUUUUUGGCUCUCUGUGCAUGUUUUGUGGGGGUAUAGGGUGACCAUAUUCUGAAUCCCGAAAAAGAGGACACACCUAUGCGAGGGCGGAGUCACGGAGUCGCACAGAGUUAAUUUUGAGAGUUUUUCGGGCUGGAUUGAGUGUCUUUUACACGCUUCUAACUCAGUAAGUCCAUGAGACACAAACUUGAAACUUCCAUACAAAACCUCUGACAUUUGAAGGACAAAGCCGGACAAUGCUGGACAGCCCCCAAGAAAGAGGACAUGUCCAGGUAAAAGAAGACGUAUGGUCAUCCUAUGCUCAAACUGGAAAAAAAAAGGGCUAAGAAGGAUUUUGAAGAUGCCACCUUGUGGGCAGGGGGUAGUGUCACCAUGACAACAAACUUUUGAAAUGAAAGCUCUAACUGUGGGUUCAGCACAAGUAAUCCUACAGGAGACUCCAGCAGACAAAUUUCUACUCUGGCACAGAACAUGGAGGUUUUCUUUUGGUCAAUGACUCGAUGUUGUCGACCGUAGUGGACAUGUUUAUCCACAGGCAUUGCUUUUCUCUCUCACUCAAUGGAAGCAUGAAUGACUACCUGAGUAUAGACAGACCGACAUGCCUCCUGUGCUGAUACUGCAGUCUAAUGGAGAUGCAGGUAACAAAAAGCUGCUUUCUCAGUCCUAUCAAGGCCACUUGAACCAUUUGACCCAACCUAAACUACAGAUUAUCCAAGAAUCCAAAUACUCUAAUAUAUUUUCAGUUCAUCAAAUGAUGAAUUUUACACUCAGCAAUGAAUAGCUGCAGCCUUGGUUCAUUCAGUGUCACAUUUUUUUGUCCUUUCCCUAUUAUAAAACAGAGUACAAUCAGCUGCUUCAUCAAUCAGAACAGCUCUUGACUUUGCAUCGUCUUUCCUCUCAGACUCGGUCCAAGUGAAAUUUCCCUGCCACACGCGACCGGAGUCGGCAGCAGUUAUUGUUGAGGGCGGUCUCGCAAUCCUGGAAGUGAACGGCUGCAGCGAGGCCCCCGACACCCAGCCCAAGAAUGCAAGGUGCAAGAGCAGCAAUUUCCCCUUUUCGCCGGCUGUCUUAACACGCCACACACAGAGGCCAUCAUUACCGAUCGAGCACACUCCCACUGAGAGGAGGCCUGCGUCCAACUAGAGCGUGAAAGGAGAGGUGCAAUGAAAGGAAGAGC